GAUGAACGCUGGCGGCGUGCCUAAUACAUGCAAGUCGAGCGACCAGACGAGGAUUUCUUUCCUCUGCCGUUAGCGGCGGACGGGUGAGUAACACGCGGAUAACCUACCUAUCCGUCUCGGCUAACUUCGCGAACCCGGAGCUAAUACCUGCUAAUAUAUUUACCUGCAUGGUUCCAUAGUGAAAGACGGUUUUGCUGUCACUUAUAGAUGGAUUCGCGCCGCAUUAGCUAGUUGGUAAGGUACCGCCUUACCAAGGCAACGAUGCGUAGCCGACCUGAGAGGGUGAGCGGCCACACUGGAACUGAGACACGGUACAGACUACUACGGGAGGGAGCAGUAGGGAAACUUACACAAGGGGCUGAGGCUUGGCGUGGCAAAGCCAAGUGGGGGAUAAAGGUCUUCGGAUCGGAGAAGUCUGUUAUUAGGGAGGAAGAAAUGUGUGGGUAACGAGUGACGUCUUGAAGGUACCGAAUGAGAAAGCCACGGCUAACUACGUG
rnacentral:rRNA from 1 species